rnacentral:lncRNA from 1 species
AUGCCUGUUUUAGGUUUUGUGCCUUACAAGGGUGACUGGUUGGAGGUUGUGUAUUCCACAGAGCCAGGCACAUCACACAUCAAAGCAAACUCAAUGAAGCCCAUGAACUCUAGGCAUGUGGAUGAGGUCAGCAUUACUAGUGUCCAUGGAAGACAUGGGGUGAUAGACAACAAAAUCUUUUUCACCUUGGAUUCACUGAAACUCCCUGCUGGUUAUGUACCUCAACGAUAUGAUGUCGUCAACGUGGUCGUAGUGGAGAGUACUCAGUCCUGCUAUUUGUGGAGGGCAGUUUCUAUGACCCUAGCUCACAGGUGUUAAUAACCCAGCCUUUCAUUUUCUGUUCAUCCUUACUUCUAUGGGCAGUCAACUGCCUGGUCCAGUGGAAAAGCUUUGCUUAGUGAGCUUAAACAAUAUGUUAAAUAUAAAUUUUCUCGUAAACACACUAGGUAGUUCCCUUGGGAGAAUGAGCCAACUGUAGGGAAGGACCUUAUUAAUUCAAAAACAUGCUAAAGCUGGCUCUUGAUUGUAAGAAAAAAACACACUGCCAUUCAGUUAAAUUCCUUCUUUUCCCUGUCCAGAAGCAGACUAUAUGCUGGCGGGGACCUGUUAAGGCUCUCAAGUAAGGUGCAGAGUUGGAAGGCUUAAGAGGUGGUGGGGCCAGCAUGGUAAUGGGCAGAAUCGCCUACCCUUCAAGUGUCGGUCCCGCUUAUGCUUUCUGUCCAAUUUUCAUUUGUCCAUGCCAUUGUUCCUCUCCGCCUACUUAUUCAAGUUUAUUAAAUUAGUGGUUCCUUAUGUCCCUUCUUCUCCAUGCUAGACUGUAAGCUCCAUAACAAUCGGGU